rnacentral:lncRNA from 10 species
UAAAAGUGAACAGAGAGGCUGGGGGAGGAAAUUCCUCUCCUAGGGUUGAUAGCAGCCCAGACACAGAGGCCAGUCUGGCUUCCUUCCCACCACACACCAGCCAUGGCCAAAGGCCCAGUCGGUAUCAGCCUCAGCCCUGGCUCUGGAGUGAGGAUGGUGCUGACCUGCGUGGCCUGACUGGCAAGCACGCAGAAAAAGGCACCAAUGAAGUAGAAGACCCUGGAGUAGGCAUGUCCAGAUGGCAUCACUUGGUUAGAGAUGUGCCACAGUAUCUUCACGUCCUCAAGAUUGUUGGCAUUUUUGCUCAGGCCCCUGUCACAGGCACGCAGCAGCAUGAUGUUUUUGGGAGUGGAAAUGAAGACAGUUUUAUAAGAAAGCAACUUUCUCUUGUGAGAACACAGCUGGCUCUUCAGCCAUGAGUUCUAGUUUGAAUCUGCCAGCCCUUCCCAUCUGUUUGACAUUCCACAGCUUUGUGGGUGGAGACCAGGCAUUUUUGAGUGGAGUGUCCCCCACCCCUAACCUGGAACUUGGUGCAACAUUGGAAGGUAAAGGUGGAGUUUCCAAGAGAACAGCAUUGAAGGAGGGCUGGGAAAGCACAAGACAGGAAGAGUCUGUGCCAAAAGACCCUGGAUAGGAAGAAACACAAGAAAAAAUUUAUCCAAAGUCAAGAUUGAGUGGGAGCCCAGAGGAACGUUGCAUUCAAAUGACAAAGAAUAUGAAGCCGAUAGGGAUAAAGUGAGUAACCCAAGGUCACAAGACAAGAGAGCUGGUCCAGGACAAGAACUUGGUGCUCAUGUCAGGUUCUCUCUGCCACAUCUUGAGAAUACGUGCAUCCUUUGCCUUUUAAGACUCCAUCAGCCUCGAAGUUCAUUUGUGUGGCACUAAAAGUAAACCAAAAGCAGGAAGCUAAGGAUCUUUCACCUCUAAUGCACCCUGACCUUGGCUAUUUCAUGUCAGGGUCUGUGCAGUCUAAGCCCAGGCAGCCAACAUGCUUGGAGGAUACUUCAUGUAGUGGUACCUACAGCUCUUUCCAGAAGGCCAUGAAAAUCGAAUUACAUGGUGGGCUUGACUGAGACCAAUGUCUGAGACUUGUCCUUCUGAAGAAGUGGAUGUCUGCUGCCCACUUGUGAGAAUUGCUUGCAGCCAAACGUAAGGCCGUGGGCCCAGUUAGGCACCAGAGGGCUCAUCAGCUCAUUGUCGCCCACUUUAGUCUGCCGAGAUCCCACCCACUUGAUCUUGUCGGGAGAGAAGGCUGGUUCUUCCUCAGUCACCAGGGGCCAACGUCACCCUUGCAGAAAGUAUGAGCCACAAAGAAGUGCUACACAGCCAAUAUAUCACACCACACAUGAUGACUCACAUGUGAUUUGAACUUGUCUCUAUUUGGUUAAAUCUGGGCUCACGAAUACUUGAGAGACAAGGCCUCACUCUGUUGCCCAGGCUGGAGUGCUGUGAUGCGAUCAUGGCUCACCGCAACCUCAACUUCUUGGGCUCAAGCAAUCCUCCUGCCUAAGCUUCCUGAGAAGUGGGGACCACAGUUCCUUGCUUUGAUGAAGCAAGCUGCCAUGUUGGAGACAAAUGACUGAGGACAAUGUCCGGCCAACAAGCAGAAAGGAAAUGAAUCUACCACCAACUAUGUGGACAUGGAAGUGGAUUCUUUUCCUGUUGAGCCUUCUGAUGACUCCAGCUCAGCCGAUGCCUUGAUGCAGCUAGGUGAGAGACCUCCAGCUAGGUGACCAGCCAUCCAGUUGGCCCUGGACUGAGGGAAGUGGCUGGGAUGCAGGGCUUUCUAUUGUCUAACUGAUGCAGUUUCUAGAAACCCAUCCCAGCAUGCCUGGAAAUGAAUUUUUUGGGAUGAAGUCUUUUUGGUGCUAAGACAGGGAAAAUCCUGGGCAAAUUCUGAUGAGUUGUUCAUCUUACGCAAGAGACCCAGGUAACCUGUGCCUGGAUUCCUGAUCCACCGAAAUCAUGAGCUAAUACAUAUAGGCUGUUUUAGGCUGCUAAUUCCUGUGGCAAUUUGUUGCCGGCAAUAGAUAGGGAGAUGGGAAGGGAUUG